rnacentral:rRNA from 1 species
AACGCGAAGAACCUUACCCAGAUUUGACAUGCAGUAGACAGCAUCAGAAAUGAUGCCUCCCUUCGGGGCUGCUGCACAGGUGCUGCAUGGCUGUCGUCAGCUCGUGCCGUGAGGUGUUGGGUUAAGUCCCGCAACGAGCGCAACCCUUAUCGUUAGUUGCCAACACGUAAUGGUGGGAACUCUAACGAGACUGCCUGGGUUAACCAGGAGGAAGGUGAGGAUGACGUCAAGUCCGCAUGGCCCUUAUGUCUGGGGCUACACACGUGCUACAAUGGUCGGUACAGAGGGCAGCGAAGCCGCAAGGUGAAGCAAAUCCCACAAAGCCGAUCCCAGUUCAGAUUGUAGUCUGCAACUCGACUACAUGAAGAUGGAAUUGCUAGUAAUGGCGAGUCAGCAACAUCGCCGUGAAUACGUUCCCGGGCCUUGUA